rnacentral:rRNA from 1 species
UUAUGCUGAUAAGAGCGUAUGGUGGAUGCCUUGGCACUAAGAGCCGAUGAAAGACGUGAUAAGCUGCGAAAAGCUUCGGGGAGGGGCAAAUACCCAUCGAUCCGGAGAUUUCUGAAUGGGGAAACCUAACUGAGCAAACCUCAGUUAUCCUGACGCCAAUCCAUAACGUCAGGAAGGGAACCCGGUGAACUGAAACAUCUAAGUAGCCGGAGGAAGAGAAAACAACAUGUGAUUCUGUGAGUAGCGGCGAGCGAAAACGGAAGAGCCCAAACCGGGAUGCGUGCAUCCCGGGGUUCGGACCGCGGAAUUGAUUCAACAAGUUUAGCAGAACAGUUUUGGGAAAGCUGACCAAAGAGGGUGAAAGUCCCGUAAGCGAAAGGCGAGUUGACAUGGCGGUAUCCAGAGUAGGUCGAGACACGUGGAACCUUGACUGAAUAUGCGGGGACCACCCCGUAAGGCUAAAUACUCCUUAGUGACCGAUAGCGCAUAGUACUGUGAAGGAAAGGUGAAAAGGACCCCGGGAGGGGAGUGAAAAAGAACCUGAAACCAUAUGUUUACAAGCUGUGGAACAUCUUUAUAUGAUGAACCGCGUACUUUUUGUAGAACGGUCCGGCGAGUUACGCUGGCUGGCGAGGUUAAGCACUGAAGGUGCGGAGCCGAAGGGAAACCAAGUCUGAACAGGGCGAAAGUCAGUCGGAGUAGACCCGAAACCGGGUGAUCUAUCCAUGUCCAGGUUGAAGUUGCCGUAAAAGGCAAUGGAGGACCGAACCCACAUCCGUUGAAAAGGGUGGGGAUGAGGUGUGGAUAGGGGAGAAAUUCCAAUCGAACCCGGAGAUAGCUGGUUCUCCUCGAAAUAGCUUUAGGGCUAGCCUCAUACAAGUCUUGCGGAGGUAGAGCACUGAAUUCCUACGGGGGCGUCAAAGCUUACCAAGGGAUAUCAAACUCCGAAUGCCGUGUAGAUGAUGUAUGGGAGUCAGACUAUCCGAGAUAAGUUGGGUAGUCGAAAGGGAAAGAGCCCAGACCUGCAGCUAAGGCCCCAAAAUGUGUGUUAAGUGGAAAAGGAUGUGGGAUUUCGAAGACAACUAGGAUGUUGGCUUAGAAGCAGCCAUCCAUUAAAAGAGUGCGUAAUAGCUCACUAGUCGAGAGGUCCUGCGCCGAAAAUGUCCGGGGCUGAAACACACUGCCGAAGCUCAGGGAUGAACAGUGAUCAAUACAGAUCAAUGCAAGAGGAAAGCUUCUUGAUGAAAUCAAGAAGAUUCCAAAACAGAUGAAACAGACUGCUGUUGGUCUGCGUUGAUCACUGUUCAUCGGUAGAGGAGCAUUCUUAAAGAGACGAAGCUGUACCGAAAGGAGCAGUGGAUUUUUAAGAAGAGAGAAUGCCGGAAUGAGUAGCGAGAAAGAGGUGAGAAUCCUCUUGGCCGAAUAUCUAAGGUUUCCAGGGUAAAGCUGAUCUGCCCUGGGUAAGUCGGGGCCUAAGGCGAGGUCGAAAGACGUAGUCGAUGGAUAACAGGUUGAAAUUCCUGUACUAUCCUGUAACAGAACUGUGGGGACGCAGACAGAGAGCACAAGCCGGGAAUGGAAAGACCGGUGCAAGCGAGGUAGGAGUACAUCAGGCAAAUCCGGUGUGCAAUCCGAAGACGUGAUGCGGAUCGAAAAGAAGUAG